rnacentral:rRNA from 1 species
AUACCCCUACGGGGCGCAGCAGUAGGGAAUCUUCCACAAUGGACGAAAGUCUGAUGGAGCAACGCCGCGUGAGUGAAGAAGGGUUUCGGCUCGUAAAGCUCUGUUGGUAGUGAAGAAAGAUAGAGGUAGUAACUGGCCUUUAUUUGACGGUAAUUACUUAGAAAGUCACGGCUAACUACGUGCCAGCAGCCGCGGUAAUACGUAGGUGGCAAGCGUUGUCCGGAUUUAUUGGGCGUAAAGCGAGUGCAGGCGGGUUAAUAAAGCUGUUUUGAAAACCUUCGGCUCAAACG